GCCGAAAUAGCUCAAUUGGGAGAGCGUUAAGACUGAAGAUCAAGGUCCCUGGUUCGAGAAAUCGGGUUUGAGCA